GGUCGGCAGGGUGGUGCUUCCAGGGCCCUCGCUUGUCCCCCAGCCUGGACAACGCCAUCCCUGGCUUCUCCCCUGCCCGGGGGAGUCUCCUGGGGUCUUCAAGGCCAAGGUAUCCAGGAUGAAAUGAACCCCUGCACCAGAUCACAGGCCCAGUCCCGUGAUCCUCAGGAAAGACCCCCUUAACUGUCCUUCACCCCCUUCCCUCUUCUGUCAGGAGGUGGGUUGGGUUGGAAAAGGAGUGAUGUGUGAGCAAGAAGUCCUGUGUCUGGGCUUUGACUAAGCAUUCAGCUGCUCUCCCCAGGGCCAGAAGCACCCUCGGGGCCAGGCCACAGCAGUGACAUUACUAUCCCAGGCCAGGGCCCCCUACCCCCACCCCAUGUCCUCUGGGGUUGGCUAUAUAGCCCCUCCCUCCGCUUUGCAGGGCCUUCCGUGGGUACAGACCAAUUACCAAGUACAAAUGAUUACUAAAAAAUGGUAGCAAGAGAAAGGCAUAAGUGGAAGAGUUCAGAGGAAGAACCUGAUGGAGAAUCAGUUUUGUGCCAACGAGGGAAACCAGGAGGCAAUCCAAAAUGACAGAGCGGCCAGAGUAUGUGCAGGAGGAGGAGAAUGGGAUACGUCCUCCUGAUCCUCCCAAAGGAGGCCCCGUCCCUCCCUCACCCGGUCCAGAGGCUGAAACAUGGCAAAGAGCGUUUAGCAGGCAUCCCCCCGUCCCCAUGGAGAAGGACAAAUGGCAGGCUUCAAGAAGGUCAAAACUAAAGAGGAUCUUAGGCCUCUAGGCCAACUCUAUGGGGAAACUGAGGCUCAUGGAAAGACAGAGGCUCUCCAGCUCCCAGAAGUCUCUUGCACAGCUGAACCCUCUUCCUCCUCACCUAAGAGAGGCAAUCCCCAGCCUGUCCAUGGAUCCAAAGUCAAGUCGAACCUCCUAACCGUGAGGGCCUCGGUGCCCCUGUCAGAGGCUCUGCAAAGGCCCGGCAAAGGCCAGAAGAAACUGUUAAUGGGGGGUGAUCUGGGGGAGGCCUUCCUUUCUCCUCACUGGAGUUUAUCUGUGUUGACUGGUCUGCAUAAGAUGCGUUUCAAUCUUGGCUCUCCUUAAGAAGAUACCUUUUAAGAUUUUUUUUCCCUUGGUCCAAGACCAUCUAAAGAUAAGAAUUAGGAGGCUUUCUUUGGUUUG